CCCCGCGGCGCGCAGCCCUGAUUGGUGCCGGGCGGGCGCUGGCUCGGCUUUACGAGGGUGUCGUCACGGCCCGGAGGAAACCAGUCUCUUUACCUGAUAAAACGUAUGAAUAGAUGGUUAGUCAUAAACUUCAGCGCCGUCGGAACGGAGGCUGUAGCUUUAAAAGACGUGCUGGUGACUUCAGGUACACCUGCAACACAGGUAGGGCAGGACCGGUUUCCAGGCAACUGUCAGGGGUGAAGGAAGUUUUAAGGGAAGCUGUAUGUAAACCGAUCAGAGACCGGCUAGGUACCCGUUUCAGGAAAUGACCAGAUUUGGACAACGGUCUCUCUUCCUCUGAGAUUUCAUGAUCGCACCGUAGACCUGAGUGUUUGUGUGACAAUAACUCCUAACCGCCGCUUCUCCGAAGCUGAACCAGAUCACGCUUCCUCUGCUCAUGCUGAUGGUAGCUUCCCAAAGCCAGUUGCUAAAUUACAGCCACCUGAUCCCGGCCGGCGUGGCUCAGUGGUUGAGCGUCAACCUAUGAACCAGGAGG